rnacentral:rRNA from 1 species
GUAGUCAUAUGCUUGUCUCAAAGAUUAAGCCAUGCAUGUCUAAGUAUAAGCAAUUAUACCGUGAAACUGCGAAUGGCUCAUUAAAUCAGUUAUCGUUUAUUUGAUAGUACCUUACUAAAAAACCAAUGCCCUUCGGGGCUCUUUGGUGAUUCAUGAUAACUUAACGGAUCGCAUGGCCUUGCGCCGGCGACGGUUCAUUCAAAUUUCUGCCCUAUCAACUUUCGAUGGUAAGGUAUUGGCUUACCAUGGUUUCAACGGGUAACGGGGAAUUAGGGUUCGAUUCCGGAGAGGGAGCCUGAGAAACGGCUACCACAUCCAAGGAAGGCAGCAGGCGCGCAAAUUACCCAAUCCCGACACGGGGAGGUAGUGACAAUAAAUACUGAUACAGGGCUCUUUUGGGUCUUGUAAUCGGAAUGAGUACAAUUUAAACCCCUUAACGAGGAACAAUUGGAGGGCAAGUCUGGU